rnacentral:rRNA from 1 species
AAUGAACGCUGGCGGCGCGCCUAAUACAUGCAAGUCGAGCGAGAAGACGUAGCAAUACGUUUGUAAAGCGGCGAACGGGUGAGGAAUACAUGGGUAACCUACCCUCGAGUGGGGAAUAACUAGCCGAAAGGUUGGCUAAUACCGCGUACGCUCCUUGGACCUCGGUUCAGGGAGGAAAGCGAUACCGUGGGUAUCGCGCUCUUGGUUGGGCUCAUGUCCUAUCAGCUUGUUGGUGAGGAACGGCUCACCAAGGCUUCGACGGGUAGCUGGUCUGAGAGGACGAUCAGCCACACUGGCACUGCGACACGGGCCAGACUCCUACGGGAGGCAGCAGUAAGGAAUAUUGCGCAAUGGGCGAAAGCCUGACGCAGCGACGCCGCGUGGGGGA